GCUUGUUCAUUUACAAAAAUAGAGGAUGAAACGGGUGCUGUCCAAGUUCUUACCUUCUCACAGUCUUCUUUCUAGGAGUGAUGAACCUUGCCAGGAAAGACCGAAUCUUGUUUCCUGGCACCCCAACUCACUCAUGAGGACCAGAUUUUAGUAAAGUGUUCUCAACUAGAACUUUCCUGAGGAUCACACCCAGAACAAGAAGCCCACAAAGAGCAUUUCACAUGCAUCAGAAAAUUUGCUAACUACUGUCUGGACAAGGACACUGUUUCCAAGGCUUACGCGUGUUAGGGGAGACAUGAUCAAACACAAGCACCUCAGUCACUGUGAGGUUUUCAUAGAAAAACCAGCAUCGUGAGUCACCACCAAAUGUGCAAUCGGCGAGUGGCACCUGCAGCGGGACUCCACUUCACGCCAGGAAAUCCCAAAUGCACUGUCUCCUUCCACACGGGGGCCUGCUGCCCUGGACUUCUGUCUGUGGCCGCUGCCGCACUGCAGUGGCAACCGCAAGUGGAUUCCGCUUGCUCCAGAAGUGCCGCAUCAAACCUUGUGGUAAAGAAUCUGCUUAUGAAUGCAGGAGAUGCACGAAAUGCAAGUUCAAUGCCUGGGUCAGGAAGAUCCCCUGGAGCAGGAAAUGGCACCCACUCCAGUGUUCUUGCCUGGGAAAUCCCAUGGACAAAGAAGCCUGGUGGACUACAGUCAAAUGAGUCAGACAGGACUUAGAGAUUAAACAACAGGAACAACAGAAGUGUCAUGAGUAAGGUAGCAUUAAUGACCUAUUUUUUUAGUAAAGAGACUGAAGUUCAUCGACUUUAAUGAAGGACCACAUAGCUAGUCGGGGGUGGCAUCACCACCCUAACCAGGCUAAUUUCAGGUGAUUUAAACACUGCAAGUCAAGG
ensembl:lncRNA